rnacentral:rRNA from 1 species
CUGGGCGGGCGUGCCUAAUACAUGCAAGUCGAGCGGACAGAUGGGAGCUUGCUCCCUGAUGUUAGCGGCGGACGGGUGAGUAACACGUGGGUAACCUGCCUGUAAGACUGGGAUAACUCCGGGAAACCGGGGCUAAUACCGGAUGCUUGUUUGAACCGCAUGGUUCAAACAUAAAAGGUGGCUUCGGCUACCACUUACAGAUGGACCCGCGGCGCAUUAGCUAGUUGGUGAGGURAUGGCUCACCAAGGCAACGAUGCGUAGCCGACCUGAGAGGGUGAUCGGCCACACUGGGACUGAGACACGGCCCAGACUCCUACGGGAGGCAGCAGUAGGGAAUCUUCCGCAAUGGACGAAAGUCUGACGGAGCAACGCCGCGUGAGUGAUGAAGGUUUUCGGAUCGUAAAGCUCUGUUGUUAGGGAAGAACAAGUACCGUUCGAAUAGGGCGGUACCUUGACGGUACCUAACCAGAAAGCCACGGCUAACUACGUGCCAGCAGCCGCGGUAAUACGUAGGUGGCAAGCGUUGUCCGGAAUUAUUGGGCGUAAAGGGCUCGCAGGCGGUUUCUUAAGUCUGAUGUGAAAGCCCCCGGCUCAACCGGGGAGGGUCAUUGGAAACUGGGGAACUUGAGUGCAGAAGAGGAGAGUGGAAUUCCACGUGUAGCGGUGAAAUGCGUAGAGAUGUGGAGGAACACCAGUGGCGAAGGCGACUCUCUGGUCUGUAACUGACGCUGAGGAGCGAAAGCGUGGGGAGCGAACAGGAUUAGAUACCCUGGUAGUCCACGCCGUAAACGAUGAGUGCUAAGUGUUAGGGGGUUUCCGCCCCUUAGUGCUGCAGCUAACGCAUUAAGCACUCCGCCUGGGGAGUACGGUC